UACAGAGGGUGCAAGCGUUGUUCGGAAUUAUUGGGCGUAAAGCGCGUGUAGGCGGCGAUUUAAGUCGGGUGUGAAAGCCCUCAGCUCAACUGAGGAAGUGCGCCCGAAACUGAAUGGCUUGAGUGCCGAAGAGGGUGGCGGAAUUCCCCAAGUAGAGGUGAAAUUCGUAGAGAUGGGGAGGAACACCGGAGGCGAAGGCGGCCACCUGGGAGGUAACUGACGCUGAGACGCGAAAGCGUGGGGAGCGAACAGG
rnacentral:rRNA from 1 species